rnacentral:lncRNA from 1 species
CUGAAAAACACCUUUAUGAUCACCCAGUUACGAGAUGACGGUUGAUGCCCACAAAGUAUUCUUCCGGUACUAGGGAGUGGCAUGAUCUCAUGGUCUAAAUAAAUAAUACUUGACAUAAUAAAACAUAAGCAACUUAAACUUAAGUGACACGAUCAAAAGCUAUGUUUAGGUUUGGGUCUGUCCAUCACAUCAUUCUCCUACUGAUAUGAUCUCGUUAUUAAAUGACAACACAUGUCUAUGGUUAGGAAAUCUUAACCAUCUUUAAUCAACGAGCUAAUCUAGUAGAGGCGUAUUAGGGACACGGUAUUUGUUUAUUUAUCCACACAUGUAUUUGAGUUUCCAAUCAAUACAAUUAUAGCAUGGGCAAUAAACAUUUAUCAAGAACAAUGAAAUAUGAUAAUAACAAAUUUAUUAUUGUCUCUAGGGCAUAUUUCCAACACACCCCCCCCCCCCCCCGGCGGCCCUCCGCUCCGUGGCGAGGCGUGGCGGCACGAGCAGAUCCCACCCCGGCGGGCGGCGGCAGCCCUCUGCUCUGUGCCGCGGCCUGGUUCCCGCCCUCGCAAAAAAAAUUCCCUCGCUCCGUGACCUCCGUCCCUCGCCCCGCGUUCUCUAUUUCUCUGCCGAAGUCAAGCGGUCGUGGGUUUGUUUUUGCCUGACCGCUGGAUCUAAAUUGGACGUCAGAUCACAGGGAUAGAGGCGCUUGGGACGUACACGAGUAACUUCACCGAAGCAGGCAGUGAAAUACUGAAAUUAGAGAAGGAUCUCGAUAGAGUGCGUACCAGUGCCUACACGCAUGCCCACACAAGUACUCUUACAACCCUGCAGUCGCUGCCGUGUAACGAUCAGGGAGACAGUGAUGUACGGCGUACCACAACAUAAUUCGUUUAAUUAAUACGUACGUCUGACCGGCCGGACCACAAGCUCGUGGUGACUUGUCAACUGGAGUAUAUCGUCGAUCUAAACUCUAAAGUGUCUCGAUCAGUACCUGCGUUAUUUUCUCAGUCCCGGGUUACAGUAAUCUUGCAUGCAUUUGCGCGCCACAAGGAUGCCUGCGAUCGAGCUCUAAAUGCAUUGAUAUGGUAUAUGUGGAAUGGACCGCAUGGAAAACCCGUACCAGCCAAGCCACCAGCUGAGCUACAGCUUGUUUUUCAGUUGAGACAAAUUAACGCGAUCGCAGGCGGCAUGAUCAGCGCUUAAACUCGAAUUUGGAUACAGUCCAGCCAAGCCGUCCGUAGGUUUAUCUCAUUUGGGAUGCGGAAGCUUAAGUGAUGUGCAGUACGUACGAUACCUCCACACACACACACAAAAAAAAAAACAGACGUGUUGGACCGAUUGAUCAUCCAUGUCCACAGAAACAACAAAGAUCCAGCGGCAGUGCAUGCGUACGUUCGCACCAAGUAUCUCAGUACGUGCAAUCGUGCACGCAUGCACUAGUAGUAUUAUAUUCGAUCUCCUGCCCGGUAAUCAAAGAGUACGUACAGAUGUACGGUAAUCGAACUCUUUAAUGCCUGCGAGCACACACCGAUAUAGUAGAAAAUAGUAUCUUGCUAUAUACUCGAUCUUGCACACACCGUUUGAGUACAGUGUGGAUCGGAAUGGACCGUACAAGAAGCCACCAGCUUGUUUCUUUCUUUUUUUUUGAAGGAACACCAGCUUGUUUCUGAUUUGGGAAGAACGCGUGUGAUCAACACUGGAAUUUAAAAAGAUUCCAGUCUGUAGGUAAACAAACGGAGGGCUCAUAGCCCCUUAAUUUGUUCCUUAAAUUAAAACUUUUGACUAAGCCUUUGAACCAUAAUUAGUCUAUUAAAAUAUAAUUUUUUGAAAUAAAAUUGAUGCUAUUGUAUUCAUAUUUAAGAGUACUUGUUCAUAGUUAUGAUUUGUAUCUUAUAAGUCACACGUCGAUGGAGUAAUACUUGAUCAAACAUUCGGUCAAAGAAAACAAUAUACGUCUUAAUUUAAGGAACGGAGAUCUUAGCCGAAGAGUUUUAAGUCAAACAGCAGCUUGAAUUAUGACGGUCCCAAACGUGUUCUAGCUCAGGGAAAAUGAGAGAGAGGACCAGCCUGUUUUGAGUGGCAGGACUGAGCUAAAAGAUGGGGAAUAAAAGAUCAUUAUCUCUAACACUGUGUUUGGAUGUAUAAGGCCUGAUAUUAGACAUUGGUAUUGGACAAGUACCGAGUACUAUGAUUUGGGUUGUUUGGCUGGUCCAAGUAUUCGAUCCACACAUGGCACAAUUCCGAUGGGUAAGCCUCGACAUCCCUGGGUAUUCGGAACUUUCGGAACUGCUCGACAACACCCGCGUUCAACCCUCGCUCGAAGCAAUUUUCCCUUUUUCCCUGCCUUUUCCGUCCCUCUUCUAGCUCCCGCGCGAGGUUCAAGGCUUCCAGCGGCUGCGGCCCGAGCAGGCAGCAGCAGGGCCCUUCCUCCCUCCUCCUCCUCCUACGGCACCGGCGGUCUUCUCCCGCGACGCCGCAGCCCCGCACCAGACCACCUUGCCCUCCCUUCCCAUCUCUCUCCUCCGCGACCGCCCGUCCCCGCCGCCGCGCCCUCCUCGUCGGCUCGUCGCUCCCGAAGAAGAAGAGGACCGUGCGUACUGCGUAGGUACGGUGGUGCCGCACCAUCUGGAGCGGCGUGCGGCCUAAGGAGCAGCUCCGCCUUCCUCCGACUGGGCACGGCGCCGGCGGCCUCCCGCCCCUCCCUUCCGGCGUUCACCCUCUCAUCUCCCUUCUCUCUGCAGGUUUGCGGGCCAUCUCGACCAAGCUCCUGCCUCCGGCGCAGGUCCUGUUGGAGAUAUGCCCUAGAGGCAACCAUGUGAUGAUGUUAUUUCCUAUGUAUUCAUGAGUUAUUUGUCCUUGAACAUCAUCACUGAUAUGUAUCAAUAAAUACGUGAUUUGUUUGUGAAACUAUGUAUUCUAUGAUGUUGUUCUAAUGGUCCCUGGUCAUUGAGGUUAUGCGGACACAUAACCUAGACUAGCAAUGUGAAUCAGUGUGAUGACUAUGUUUCACAAGUCAUAGCGCAAGGUGUUGCCGACUGAUAGCAUGGACUCGACAAUGAGAUUGUUGAGUCGGACAGACCCGCACUGAGACACAACGAGAUGAUUGUCAUUUGUUAGUCUCAAGUACGAUGUAUAUGCCAGUCCUAGACCUGAGGUCAUCGUAUGAGCUUGGGAUGUGAAUCGGCCUACUUAGGGGUUGCCAAACGCUACUCCGUAACUGGGUGGUUAUAAAGGUAGCUUUCGGGUUCGCUGAGAAGCAUGCUGCGAGUCAUGGUUGAUCAAGAUAGGAUUUGCCCCUCCUGUUCGGAGAGAUAUCUCUGGGCCCUCUCGAGUGAUCAGAUUCGGAAAGCAUGGCCAUGCGACUUGGGUUAAGUGUUAACCCGUUCGGGAAUCUGUAUCACAGGAACGAGAAGAGACUCGAGCUAUCCACAAGGAUGACACGCACUCGCCUUGAGCUCGACACACAUAUCGCGAGGCAAAAGGAAUGUUGCAUAUGACACAUUGUAUGGUUCGUCAAUAUACCUUGUGGUUACUCGGGAGUUGGCACGUGCUGCUAGGCGCCGCUACCAACUAUCGACUUGAGUCGGUGCCAGUGGACGAGCAAGGUGUUACUCGGGCCCGCAGUCCGAGCUCGUAGUCAUGGCCGACUGACCGCGAACCUGAAGGGUCACACGCUUAAGGGGUGGGAACCGAGUUGGAUCGAUCCAACUCGUAUCGGGCUUGGACUCCUAAUGGGCCUCAAGUGUUGAGCCCACUAGGGACGUCUAUAUAAGUGGAGGAGACCAACCCGUCUAGGGUUAACUCCAGUUCAGACGCGAGUUAGACUCGGCCGUCGCACCUCCACGCCCAAAGCCUUGCGAUCGGAUCUAGCAGUCCGCCGCACGGAGUUCCUCCCUGUACGUGUGGAUACCUCGGAGGCGCUGCACCUGCGGCGCUUGGACGAACUGUUCGUGGGAUCGGCGAGGAGGAGCAGGCUGUUCGACUACUCGGCAUCGACGCGCUACAUCGACUCUACUUCCGCUACAGGUCUGCGCGUCUAGUGGUAAUCUCGUGAUCCAUUAUCUACAGCAUUGAUCCGGGCGGAAGCGGUAGAAAAUUUUAUUUUGUGCUAGCGUAGCAUACCGCGUUCCCCAACAGUGGUAUCAGAGCCGAUGCUGUCUGUUUUGGAUUCGAAUUGCGUGCAUAAGUGUUAUGCGGUUAGUAGUAGAUGUGAUCUAUUGCUAUCUUGGUGGUCGAUCUAAGUGUUAGAUCGGUUUUGUACUCAAUCGAUUGGAUCGAUUGUACUCGGGGAUCAUGGAUAUUCGAUUCUGAUAAUCGUGAUGUAGAAGGUCGUGACACAACAUACUCCUACCGGUCGGAUUUCCGCCAUCGGAGUAGACAGUGAAACAUAAAUCCGGAUACAAUUCAUGAGAUCAAUGCGAUUGAUCGAAUCGGAAUAGAAAUCCAUGAAGGAAAUUUCGGAUUGGAUCGGGGGACCGCCGUGCUAUCUAUUCGUAGCGCCUUAGUUGUCGUUGCGAGUUCACAUCAAUUCGGUAGAAUAGGUUUGUACGCUUAACUUGUUUUUGCAGGAUUGAUGUGAAUAGUAUGGCUCAUAUGUAUGUGAUACAUGUGUGUAAUAUUUGCAUGACCUGCGUGUCAUGAGUUUGUCAGCCAGGCUGGAGCCAAGGUGCUGUCUUUAUAAUUGUAUAACGACCUGCGUGUCGACAUUUGAUGUCAUUCUCCAUGUAAAUUCUUUGCUAGAUACUAGGUGUAGUCAUUUAGUAUGAAUUGGAGGACGUGAGCACCAUGGCGGCUUGAUGAACAGGUUCAUGGAGAUGGAGAUCACCAUGAAGAACAGAGCCAUACUAUUUCACAUGUUAAUUUGAUUAUCUGUGAUGGUUAUUGCUUUGUUUACUCCUAUGCAUGUUAUUGUGUUAGAGUAGAAUGAUCCCUCAAAGAAUGUCAAGUUUAUUUACCUCCCCAAUAGCUGCAACACCACAAGACAAGUACAUUUGGUGAUGGGCUCAUGAAAUUGGGGUAUCACCAUUUUUCCUUGUCGUUGGUGAUGUUCGUGUCGGACACUUACAUGCGAAGCUUUGGUUAACUUGACGGGGCUAUCAAAACGGUUUUGGGCCUCGAGGUGAAAGGAGUCGGAGCCGGGGCAAGUGUUGCCUACCGACUAACAAGAGUCGUAUAGAGAUACGAUUGGCAAGAGUUGCCUACCGAGUGAUUCAAUCGGCUAGCAGUGAUGCUAAAGCUCACUAGACGAUUGGUUGAUCUUGGAUCUUGAAUCACUAAUGAUCAAUGGAGGGAUGUUGAUUUUAGUGGGAGUAUAUUUCUAUUAAAUUGUUUAAUAUGAAUUACUCUUCAUGAAUACUUGUCUUAGUGUUUUUGCAUUUUCUGUUGUAGAUCAAUGGCACCACCUCAAUUGUCCAGUUUUGCUUUGAGAUCUGUUCUUGAGAAAGAUAAACUAAAUGGAACUAACUUCACCAACUGGUAUCGGAACCUGAGAAUCGUUCUCAGGCACGAUAAGAAAGAAAGAAAGAACAUGUCAUAGAGAACCCACUUCCAGAGGAGCCGGCUGAUAAUGCCACUGCUGCUGUUAGAAACGCCUAUCAACGCUCAUGUGAUGAGUCGAUUGAGAUCAGCUGUCUGAUGCUUGCCUAUAUGGAGCCCGAACUGCAGCAGCAGUUUGAGAAUGUUGAGGCUUUCGAUAUGAUCGAGACUCUCAAAGGCAUGUUUCAGACUCAGGCUAGGACCGAAAGAUUUAAUGUCUAAAGGUCCUUCCUGGAGACUAAGCUGAAAGAAGGCGAACCCUUGAGCCCACAUGUAAUCAAGUUGGUUGGUUACACGCAAAGCUUGGAGAAGCUGGGCUUUCCGCUGAGCCAAGAGUUGGCCACGGAUACAAUUCUGGCAUCUCUUCCGCCAAGCUAUGCGCAGUUCGUUCAGAACUACCAUAUGCAUGGCAUGGAAAAGAAAGUCACUGAAUUGCAUGGGAUGCUUAAAACAGCAGAGGAGGAUAUCAAGAAAAAUACCAAGCAAGUGUUGCUGGUACAGGGAAAGCCAAAGUUCAAGAAAAAUUCUUGGGCUAAGAAGAAGGCAAAGAAGGGAAAGGCUAAGGAUGUGAUCCCGACCCCUGCCCCUGCUGCGCCUAAGGCUGGACCGGACUCAGAGACCGUAUGCUUUUUCUGCAAAGGCACCGGUCAUUGGAAGAGGAACUGCAGCAAGUACCAGGCCCACGUGGCAAAGAAGGGUGGAAGUGUGACUUCUACUUCAGGUACGGUUGUUGUAUAUGUUAUAGACAUUUAUCUUGCUGAUGCACCUAACAGCUCUUGGGUAUUGGAUACCGGAUCGGUUGUUCACAUUUGCAACUCGAUGCAGGGGCUGGCAAGGACUAGGAGCGUCGCAAGUGGAGAGGUUGACAUAAGGGUUGGCAAUAAAGCAAGAGUUGCAGCGUUGCCCGCCGGGACUAUGCAACUUCAUUUACCUUCUGGAUUUGUUAUGGAAUUAGAUAAUUGUUAUUAUGUUCCUGCUUUAAGUCGAAACAUUAUAUCUGUCUCAAAGUUGUUGAGUCACGGUUAUGAAUUCAAUAUUAAGGGCAAUGGUUGUUCUUUUUAUUUGAAGGAUAUGUUUUACGGCUUUGCACCUGUUGCGAACGGGUUAUUCAUCCUUAGUCUUGAAGGAGAAUCUGUCUAUAACAUUAAUGUCAAGAGGCGCAAGCCUAACGAUCUGAAUCAAACCUAUUUUUGGCAUUGUCGUUUGGGUCACAUAAGUGACAAACGCAUGAAGAAGCUCCAUGGAGAUGGACUUUUAACAUCGUUUGAUUAUGAAUCAUUCGAGACAUGCGAGUCUUGUCUACUAGGCAAGAUGACCAAAUCGCCUUUUGCAAAGAGUUGCGAGAGGGCGACCGACUUGUUGGAACUCAUACAUACUGAUGUGUGUGGACCAAUGAGCACGACAGCUAGAGGAGGUUAUCAAUACUUCAUAACAUUCACUGAUGAUUUGAGUAGAUAUGGAUAUGUCUACUUAAUGAAACAUAAGUCGGAAACCUUUGAAAAGUUCAAGGAGUUCCAGAAUGAAGUAGAGAACCAACGUGGCAAGAAAAUAAAACUUCUACGAUCUGAUCGUGGAGGCGAGUACUUGAGUCACGAGUUCGACGAUCAUCUGAAGAGUUGUGGAAUUGUUCCACAGCUCACACCGCCGGGUACACCACAAAGAAAUGGUGUGUCGGAAAGGCGGAACCGGACCUUGUUGGACAUGGUUCGGUCGAUGAUGAGUCAGUCAGAUCUUCCCUUGUCAUUUUGGGGUUAUGCUCUAGAAACCGCAGCGUUCACACUAAACAGAGUACCAUCCAAGUCCGUAGAUAAGACACCAUAUGAGAUAUGGACUGGAAAGCGUCCCAGUUUGUCUUUUCUAAAGAUUUGGGGCUGUGAUGCAUUUGUCAAACGACUUCAGUCGGACAAGCUCACUCCCAAAUCAGACAAGUGCAUAUUCGUGGGAUAUCCAAGGGAAACCUUAGGAUAUUACUUCUACAACCGGGCAGAGGGCAAAGUGUUUGUCGCUCGAAACGGUGUCUUCCUUGAGAAAGAGUUUCUCAGUCGGGAGGCAAGUGGGAGGUCAGUGCAACUCGAAGAAGUUCGAGAUGAGCCAGUAGGGGAUAACUUGACAGGUGAUGUCAGUGUGACUGAGCCAGUCGUCGUACCCACGGCCAAUACAGCACCGUAUCCACGAAGGUCGGAAAGACUAUGUAAUAUACGCAAUGUGUUGUUGCUAGACAAUGACGAGCCGACUAAUUAUGCAGAAGCGAUGGUGGGUCCAGAGUCCGAGUUAUGGCUUGAGGCCAUGAGAUCCGAAUUAAAGUCCAUGGAUGAAAACCGAGUUUGGAACUUGGUAGAUCCGCCAGAGGGUGUAAAAACCAUUGAGUGCAAAUGGAUAUUUAAAAGAAAAACUGAUAUGGAUGGAAAUGUUCAAAUCCAUAAAGCUCGACUUGUCGCAAAGGGUUUUCGACAAGUUCAAGGAGUUGACUACGACGAGACUUUCUCGCCGGUAGCGAUGCUUAAAUCAGUUCGGAUCAUUCUAGCUAUUGCUGCAUAUUUCGAUUACGAGAUAUGGCAAAUGGAUGUCAAAACGGCUUUCCUUAACGGAAAUUUAACCGAGGACGUGUAUAUGAUACAGCCCGAGGGUUUUGUCGAUCCAAAGAAUGCUGGAAAAAUAUGCAAACUUCAGAAAUCCAUCUAUGGAUUGAAGCAAGCAUCUCGGAGCUGGAACAUUCGUUUUGAUGAAGUAGUCAAAGGGUUUGGCUUCAUCAAAAAUGAAGAAGAACCUUGUGUAUACAAGAAGUUUAGUGCAAACUCAGUCGUAUUUCUAAUCUUAUAUGUGGAUGACAUAUUAUUGAUUGGAAAUGACAUUCCGAUGCUAGAAGCCGCCAAGGACUCAUUGAAGAAAAGUUUUUCAAUGAAGGACUUGGGAGAAGCGGCUUAUAUUUUGGGAAUCAGGAUCUAUAGAGAUAGAUCAAGGAGGCUUAUUGGUUUAAGCCAGAGUACAUAUGUUGACAAAGUGUUGAAGAGGUUCAACAUGAAUGACGCAAAGAAAGGGUUCUUGCCCAUGUCGCAUGGUAUAAGUCUAAGCAAGACUCAGAGUCCUUCGACUUCUGAUGAGCGAAGUCGGAUGAGUGCGAUUCCGUAUGCUUCGGCGGUCGGAUCCAUCAUGUACGCCAUGUUAUGUACUCGACCGGAUGUUUCCUAUGCUCUAAGUGUUACGAGCAGGUAUCAGGCUGACCCCGGUGAGAGUCACUGGACAGCGGUGAAGAAUAUCCUUAAGUACUUGAGAAGGACUAAGGAUAUGUUUUUGGUUUACGGUGGUGAGGAUGAGCUCGUUGUAAAGGGUUACACCGAUGCUAGUUUCCAAACCGACAAGGACGAUUAUCGAUCACAAUCUGGAUACGUGUUCGUCUUGAACGGAGGUGCGGUGAGCUGGAAGAGCUCUAAGCAAGAAACGGUGGCCGACUCUACAACAGAAGCUGAGUAUAUCGCGGCUUCGGAAGCCGCGAAAGAAGGCGUUUGGAUCAGAAAGUUUGUUUCUGAGCUUGGAGUGGUUCAGGGCGCGUCCAAUCCCAUGGACCUCUACUGUGACAACAGUGGUGCUAUCGCACAAGCCAAAGAACCACGACAUCACCAAAAAUCCAAACACAUACUCAGGCGUUACCAUCUCAUACGGGAAUUCGUGGAGAGAGGUGACGUUAAGAUAUGCAAGGUACACACGGAUCUCAAUAUUGCCGAUCCGUUGACAAAGCCUCUCCCGCAACCAAAGCAUGAGGCGCACACACGAGCCAUGGAUAUGCGAUACUUGGAUGAUCGACUCUAGUGCAAGUGGGAGACUGUUGGAGAUAUGCCCUAGAGGCAAUCAUGUGAUGAUGUUAUUUCCUAUGUAUUCAUGAGUUAUUUGUCCUUGAACAUCAUCACUGAUAUGUAUCAAUAAAUACGUGAUUUGUUUGUGAAACUAUGUAUUCUAUGAUGUUGUUCUAAUGGUCCCUGGUCAUUGAGGUUAUGCGGACACAUAACCUAGACUAGCAAUGUGAAUCAGUGUGAUGACUAUGUUUCACAAGUCAUAGCGCAAGGUGUUGCCGACUGAUAGCAUGGACUCGACAAUGAGAUUGUUGAGUCGGACAGACCCGCACUGAGACACAACGAGAUGAUUGUCAUUUGUUAGUCUCAAGUACGAUGUAUAUGCCAGUCCUAGACCUGAGGUCAUCGUAUGAGCUUGGGAUGUGAAUCGGCCUACUUAGGGGUUGCCAAACGCUACUCCGUAACUGGGUGGUUAUAAAGGUAGCUUUCGGGUUUGCUGAGAAGCAUGCUGCGAGUCAUGGUUGAUCAAGAUGGGAUUUGCCCCUCCUGUUCGGAGAGAUAUCUCUGGGCCCUCUCGAGUGAUCAGAUUCGGAAAGCAUGGCCAUGCGACUUGGGUUAAGUGUUAACCCGUUCGGGAAUCUGUAUCACAGGAACGAGAAGAGACUCGAGCUAUCCACAAGGAUGACACGCACUCGCCUUGAGCUCGACACACAUAUCGCGAGGCAAAAGGAAUGUUGCAUAUGACACAUUGUAUGGUUCGUCAAUAUACCUUGUGGUUACUCGGGAGUUGGCACGUGCUGCUAGGCGCCGCUACCAACUAUCGACUUGAGUCGGUGCCAGUGGACGAGCAAGGUGUUACUCGGGCCCGCAGUCCGAGCUCGUAGUCGUGGCCGACUGACCGCGAACCUGAAGGGUCACACGCUUAAGGGGUGGGAACCGAGUUGGAUCGGAUCCAACUCGUAUCGGGCUUGGACUCCUAAUGGGCCUCAAGUGUUGAGCCCACUAGGGACGUCUAUAUAAGUGGAGGAGACCAACCCGUCUAGGGUUAACUCCAGUUCAGACGCGAGUUAGACUCGGCCGUCGCACCUCCACGCCCAAAGCCUUGCGAUCGGAUCUAGCAGUCCGCCGCACGGAGUUCCUCCCUGUACGUGUGGAUACCUCGGAGGCGCUGCACCUGCGGCGCUUGGACGAACUGUUCGUGGGAUCGGCGAGGAGGAGCAGGCUGUUCGACUACUCGGCAUCGACGCGCUACAUCGACUCUACUUCCGCUACGGGUCUGCGCGUCUAGUGGUAAUCUCGUGAUCCAUUAUCUACAGCAUUGAUCCGGGCGGAAGCGGUAGAAAAUUUUAUUUUGUGCUAGCGUAGCAUACCGCGUUCCCGAACAGGUCCAACAUCGUGUGCUGAGCAAGCAAAUUUGGAUUCCGGCCACGAUGAUUAAUUCUUCUCAUCUCACUGUUAGUCUGUUCUUCUGUCUUCUCUCUGACCUGACCACCCUCUAUCUCUCUUUUCUACCUACAAUGUUGUGGCUACAAUGUCAAGAUUACGGCGUUGUGUAUAUUUUCCAAUGUAUUUUUCAUUUUUUAUUGUCAUGUGAUAUAUAUAGUUAUUCAAAUAUAUUUCAAAUGUUAUAUGGAUUUUGAAAUAUGCAUAAAAACAGUAUAUCAAUCAUACUCGGACAACUGCAAUUGAUCGCUUUGACCAUCCAAACAAGAUUUGUCAUUCAAUCUUAAUAUCAAGUUUGGGUUCCGAAUACCGAAUAUCCAAACAAAAGUAUUGGCAUUCAAUGUCAAUAUCAAUAUCCUGUGAUGUUGACAUUGGAGCAAAUGCACAAUGUCAAGCCUCUCAAUAUCUACAUCUAAACAAAGCUAAGAUCUCGAGGAGACGAUGACGAUGAUGAGAUAAGGUGUGCGGUGAUGAUCCAUGCGUCUAGGAGCUAGCAGCUACGUCCUUGCAGAUAUCACAACCAAAUGUUGACCGGAUCCCAAGAUAUUUGCCCAUAUCUUGCGCAAAUGAUAGAAAAACCAAAUGCAAGCGUCGGUCCGUACCGGAUAAUAAAUAAUUUUGUCCGGCACAUCACUUUUAUCAGUUUUAUUUCAACAUAGGGAGUUGCCUCUGUUUAAGCUGAACUUCGGGUCAUUUCUCACGCCGAGAAGGAGAAUGCAGUCCAGAUUCAGUAGUACAAAUCCAUUUGUCUGCUUAAUGUUAGGUUAAAAAAAAUUCAAGAAAGUAAAUACGAAUCGCAUCAUCGGGAUAGCUCAAGCAGUGAUUCGGUCUACUCAAACGGCCUAUAUGCCUGACCGUCAUGUUCUAGACGGGUGGUUGUCCUUCACGAGACUAUUGAAUAAACUUCACUUGAAGAAAAGAGUGAAUUCCAUUUUUUUACCCCCUCUUUGAAACUUUUUGACACAAUCUACCCCAUUUAAGGGAAUUUCCAAAAUUGUACCCCAUUUAACCAAACCUUUGCCACCAAUUACCCUUUUAAUAUUUUCCCCCAAAUCUGACGUUUUCUGACGAGCGGGGCCCACUUUUCAGGCCUACGUGGCGUGCCACGCUGGCCUUCGGGGCCAAACCAGCCCGGUUCAGUUCGUGCGGUUCUGUCCGGUUGGGGUCUGACAUGGGCUUCAGUGGGUUCUGCCCGGUUCUUUCUUUCUCUGUAUCUCGCUCAUAACUCUUUCUCCCUCAUCUCUGUCUGUCUCCCACGGGUUAGGGUUUAGGCUGCGGCGACGGCGGCGGCGACGGAAGCAACCGCGACCUGUCGGCGGAGAAAGCGGCCACCACGGGUGCUAAGCCGGGUUCGACUCGGUGUUUCUCCGGGCCUGCGCUCAGAUGGCGUCGCCGGCGAAACGGAAGGCAGUGGGAGUGGCGAUUCCGAAGCUCCCCGUAUAUUCCGGGAAUUGCGAUUCUUCGUGGAAGGUAUGUUCAUCCGCCUCGUUUCCUUUCCGUUUCCAUCUCCUUAACGUCUUUCAUCUGUGAUUUCAUUGGUGAUUUGGGGAUAUAUUGUGGUCACAAAGAUAGGACUGAUGCGUAUCAUUGGAUUUUGGGGUUUCUCAAAAUUUAUUCCUGCUGGUGCAGCGUUUAAUUUGUGGUGUGGUUAAUGUACUUUUCAUAUCAGGAAAUUGUGGGCUCAAGCAAGUUCUCCCUUGUCAGUGGGUGCCGCUGGAAGGAACAGAGGAGAAGAUGGAUGCAAUCGACAGGAACUGCUCACGUUGGGCACUUUUGGAUGCAAUCCUGGAAGCAUUUUGUGAUGAAAAUGUAUGAAAUGUAUGCACUGUUGUACAUGGGCUGAUAUGUUGUACCAAAUUUUGCCUCAAAUGCAAUGAAAAUAUACGGGCUGAUAUAUAUGGUGAAGUGAAUUUUGUAUGGUUGCCAGAAAACCGAACCGGCACCUGACCUGAACCGGGCCGGUUCGGCCCCGAAGGUCAGCGUGGCACGCCACGUAGGACUGAAAAGUGGGCCCCGCUCGUCAGGAAACGUCAGAUUUGGCGGAAAAUAUUAAAAGGGGUAAUUAGUGGCAAAGGUUUGGUUAAAUGGGAUAUAAUUUUGGAAAUUCUCUUAAAUGGGAUAGAUUGUGUCAAAAAGUUUCAUAGAGCGGGUAAAAAAUGAAAUUCACUCUGAAGAAAAUGGAUGGCACUUUCUCACUAAAACUAGCAAUGAGGAAGAAGCAGGUCUAGCUCAAGGCUCCAGCUAGCUCAAGCCUCUUUGAUUUACAAGAUUGGAAAAAUCGGAGGAAUAGAAGGAAAAAAAUGUAGAAAUGCAAUGUGAUGUUUCACUACCAGGGUCACAGAGCUUAGUGAUGGUGAUUUAUUUUUGUGUCGGGCACCAGAAUGACUGUCAUGAAAAUAAUAAUUGUGACAGGCUACUACUGACACCAAAUUAUUAAUUUUUGUGGCGGGCCUUGACACUACCGACAGAAAAUAAAAUAUAUUGUGGCAGUUGGAAUCCGACACAUUUUCAUGCCGGUUCACCAUUACACAAAACACACAUUUGUGACGGUUAUGAUGUACCCAUCACAAAAAUAACAACGUCCCAAAUAUUGUUUUUAUCACUUUUGUGAACCAAAUACCAUAAGUCUGCUCUACUCUCAAAAUAUCUGAACAUUCAUAGGACUAUAUUUUGUAGACACGAAUUAUAUUUCUGUCGGCUUUUGGUUAUUUCUGAAGGUUUAGCACCGUCACUGUACUCUGUGAUCCUGUUAGUUUGAUUGCCUGAAAUUUUGUUCGAAUAUUGUAGGGAAAGCAAAGGAUUUCUCCCAAGAAAUGUAGUACUCCCUCAACGACAAGAAUUUGGGAUAGGAGGAAGUUCUUAGGAAAAUUUAGUAUAGGAUAUAAUCCUACGAAUCAAAGGACUCAUGUAGGAAAAAUUCCUAAUGAUUCUAUAUCAAAGCGUGCGUCGAUUUUGUGUUUGUUAGUCUCUGACCUAUAUAUGUCGGCUGACGGCAAGGACCCAGCGUCCGACCGAGCCGCGCGGGCAAGAGCCAUCUUGUGUACACUCCAGGUGAGCAGUCGUGCAUCUCAAAAGAAAAGAGACCCGGGACAGUUGUGUUGCCCCGGGUUUGCACUGUUGUACACGGCCGGGUCGUACUUUUUAGAAUGUCUCCGUGUGCAUAUCGAGCGUUUUACUUUCUUUUUUUUAGAAUCUCCUGUAACUUUAUUCAAACUCAAAACAUUACGGGUACAGUGCUUCGGAUCAUGGACAAAAGAAACUACAAAGUAACCCCUAUGAGUAAGAAUUACAAUGAAAUCUUUUGAAAACAUAUUCUCCGUAGCAUCAAUUUUUGCAACACGAAAUACUCUUCAUACUUUAGCAAAAGAACUGCAAUUAGACUGGAGUGGCAACAUCGCCACUCGUAACCCUGCACGAAUUUGAUUAUCUUUAAAGGUUUCAGAAAGCCCCUUGAGUCGUCCAUCUAAAAAGAUGAGAAGCCGUGAGCAUUGAACAUACUUGGGCCGGGGUUGAUCCCACAUGAUCUUCACGAAAACGCCAGAGAAAGACUCCAAAGUCACCAAAGUAUCAUGACACACUGACAAAAACUCAUCAAAUCCGUAUGAACAGCUCUGCGAGGACAUAAACUCAAAAUCCGCGUGAUCGGACACAUCGAAUCCGCGGUGAGUAAAACUUUUUGGCCCCGUGGCACUGCGCAAUAAGGCACCGCCGCAGCAGAGGAAAAACCAGAAUACCUUUAUUCUCGACGGCAUCGCACCCUCCGUCGUAACGUUGCCGAUGAAGAUCACAAGACUCGUAAUAGUAAAAACUUCUAAAAACACCCGGUAAUACCCGAGAUUCCCCCCACCUCGCAGCGCCAAGAUGGCGACAGGAGGUGAGGGGAACCGGUGAAUCCGGACGGUGCUCUACCUCAAAACUCUAAGUUUUCUCCCUCUCCUUCUCCCUGGCGGCGAUAGCGUACCUAACGUUUUACUCCCUCUGAUUCUAAAUUCUUGACUCAACUUUGCCAAAAUAUAAAUGUAUUUAUUAUUAAAAAGCGUCUAGAUACAUGUAAUAUUUCGACAACAAUUUAGGAUCGGAGGGAGUACUUUUUUUCCUUCCUUUCUUUGCCUCCGUGGGCUUCUUUUCUGUUUUUCUUUUUGGGCCGUGUCCCACCUGGCCCAUAUCUUAGCCACUGCCUCACCGAGCCCAACCGCUCGCUAGUCACGCAUGGUGGCCACGUUCCCCCUCUGCUAAAAAAAAACUUCGUGAGAACUGAUCAACUGAAGCACGAACUCCAUUCAAUCCUUUCCUCAAAAAAAAAAAACUCCAUUCAAUCCUCUAGAUUCCCAAUUGAAGCCCGCCAAAGAAAACCCCAUUCGCUCCUGAAUUGGUACCGCGAGUGGGAUGGCGUUGAUUCGCUGUGGAAUACCGGCAGCGGGCGGCGGUUGCUAGUCUGGGGCGAUUCGGCGGGCCUGGAGCAAGAGCCGGCGGAGCAAGGGCGGGCCACGGGUGCAGGAGCAGGAGCCGGCGGGGGUGAGGGCGAGCUGGGUCUGCGGCGAUUCCCGGAGGUUGCUGCUGUGAACGGCGACUCCGGCAGGGAGUUUUUGGCGGCAGGCGGCGGCAGAGAUUUCCGCCGGUUGAGGACGACGGCCCGGAUCGAGGCGUGUCCGAGAUCAGCCCACUUGGGAUCGAUUCCGGGUCGACUGAUUGGGCAUCUGAAAUAGGAACCCGCGGGCCGACCCUGGGCCGGAACCAACGGCGGCGGCGGGCCGGCCCGGUCUCUUCAACGCGCGUGUGUCGGCGGUGCGGGUCAAGUUUAUUUUUUUCUGAAUUACCUCUUUCAUAAUCUCGCAGCUUUUCUUCACGAGCGUAGAUGGCCAAUGGCCGGGCGGACGACAUUGUAGCGAGAGUCGUGUUUUCUUUUGAUUAAAGAUGGCAUUUUCUCCGAUUUCAUUAAAAGAAACAAUAUGUCUGUUAUAUAAAAUAAAUAAGUCCAAUUUUAAGAGCUACACUAAGCAAACAGCAAGAAGGCUACCCCUACAUUAUUCCCCUACACAUUGUUGUGCUCAGCAAACAAGACACUCUUCCUCGUCCAGCGAUACAGAGAAUAUGCAACAGGCCUACAGAUUUUGUCAACGGCCCUAACCUUGAGAUCGACAGAAGACCUCACAUGUGACUUGCCACAGUCUGCGGGAGCAUUUGCGAAGCGGUUCUCAAGUGGCGGGCUUAUGAAAACCAGCCCAAAGAUGAAUAAUAGAGCAGAUGUUAAAAUCACUACCGGAGGAUCAUAAGGUAACUUAUUCUUAAAACAAGCAUCCUUCCUUGUCUUCCAAAGAGUCCAAAGAACGGCUGCAACUCCAACUACCACGAGGUUUUCAACUUUCUUGCCAAACUAAAUCAGCCAACAAUAAAGCAAGUCCUAAAUAGAGACUGGAUCUACAACAACAUUAAAGCUAACUUGUACAGCAUUCCAGACAUAUCUUGCCAAGACAGCAUGAAAAGAACAAGUGGUCGAUGGAUUCUGUCUAGACCAGAAGGCACAUCUCUCUUCCCCCUCCCACCCUUGAGAUUUCAAUACAUCUAUGGUAAGUACACUACCUCUGUAGACCAGCCAAAGGAACACCAUAAUUUUCAGAGGCAUUUCUACUCUCCAGAGAAAGAAGUAUGGAAAUCGAACAUGGGACCGUUCAGUGCUCUGUACAUCGAGCCUACUAAAAAUCUCCCCUGGCAUCAGGUUUCCAAUACAGCUUGUAAUCUCCCCCGGUUAUCAUGUACCGAGUGUCGGUACACGAGGUUUUAUCAGGUUCGACUCUCCACGUGGAGAUAAAGAUCUACAUCUUGUUUGAUUGCAUUGAUCUUGAUUGUAGCGAUUACAAGCUGUGAUUCUUGUGUAGGCUCGGAAUCUAAUUCUAUGAUCUAUUGUCGAUUGUAAUAAGCUAUAAAAUUGUGUGCCUCGGGGCAGCCCCUGAUGGCCUUAUAUACUUGGCCAAUCUAGCUUACAAGUAGAAUUCCUAGCGGGACUCAACAAGAUGCUUGUGAUGGGGUAAUGGAACUAUAUAUUAUGAUCAAGGGCGGAGCUAGAGGAAAAAGCAUCCGAGUGCACUCUUUAAAGUUCAAUACUUCCUGGGACGCCUAGACAGCUUGGCCUGAUGCACACUUCCUAAUAAUCCCUAGUGCACUAGCUAAUUGCAGGGUAUAGUUAGCAUUAGAAAUUUUGUUUGACCCCUGGUGCAUGUGACCUAGGGAGCCAACAAGUAGGUCCGCCCCUGAUUAUGAUAACCCUAAACUGUCUUCAUAUGUUACAUUACACUCUCAAAAGUUGCAAUCAUGUUUUGUCUUUUAUCUAUUUAAAUAAACACUCAAAUCCAUGUUUUGUUUAUCGUCUUUAUGCUCGAGGAUAAGUAUAGACUAAGUUUGGGGGCGUUGAUUAUGUAAAAUGCAUACAUGAACUUUGACGUUUAUAAUGCCAUAUUCCAUCAUAAUUGUAUCGCAUUAUGAGUUAUUACCAUGGUUUUCAAUGAUUUGGGAAACUUCCCAUGAGUUCUCAUUAUUUUGAUAUUUAAUUAUGGAAAGAAGGAAAACCUCUUUUAAGUGUUUUUAACAUUCUAGGAGCUACGGGACUCGAAAAAGGGCACGAUCAGUGGCCACGGUUCAGAAAUUUUGAGAUGCCUCCAGCAAGUCAAAGCAGGCCAUCAGGGUAUCAACAGAAUGCAAAUGGGGCCCCACGGUGCACACCCCCUCCAGGCGCGACGUGCGGCCCACCACGGCCUUCCCUGCCCCUUUUGCCUUCGCUCAUUCGUGUGCAGCUUUGUCUUGACCUAAAACCAUCCAUAUAUACCCCCAAUAAAUUUAAUUCGUGACAUACGGCGACGAAGAGAGGAAACACAAUAACAGAGAUCUACAGGUAAAGACAUGUUUUCCCUCGGAGCUUUUCAUCUCUUAUAAGCAAACACACACACGCCACGAGCUUGACCUCUUGAAGCAUAGAGGAUUGGGCUUUCUCUGAAAAGAGUCACUUUUGUUUACAUUUUACUUGCUUUACUUUACUACACUUUAAAUUCCUCUACUCUAGUAGUUUAUUUCUACAAGUUAAAGAAACCUUGCAUCCGUUAAUUUAUUGGAUCGCAUAAACGGCCGUAUAAGUGGCUUAUAAAUAAUUAGAGAAUAGAUAGUUACCUUCUGCUCCUUGUGGGUUCGACACCAGUACUUAUCAAAAGGUACUACAUUGAUUCCUACACUCGUGUGGGUAUCAAUAUUCUACAUAUACAAAUUUGUGAUUUUAUGCACAAAACACAAAUCAAGUGUAUAUUUUGACGAAAUUACAAAGUGUAAAAUACAUUUAUACUUACACUAGAAAAAGAAUCAAAGCUUCACAAUAUGAUUUUUUUUCAAAUUAUAGGGACCGUGUAGCCAGGAGCCAAAAGUCCAUGUCCGAAGGAAAACUACUUCUCUCUCUACCCAAACGUAUAGAAGAAAACCUUGAGCUUCCAGACAUGGUCGCAUCAUCUCUUCCAUGUCUUCGAAAGCUCUUUAGAGCAUCAUAUCUUCCAUGUCUUCCAACUCUUUGGUCGUCGAGCCAAGUGGAGUUGGGCUGUCUGUUUCGGCGAGAGCAUAUCAGGUGCACCAAGCCCAUUGGUGCACCCGUACGUUGAAGCAACCAGAGCCGCCAUAUGGAAAAUGAAGGGUCCAGAUCAAAACAACGAAGGAAUUCACAUGUUUUAUGUUUAGUCCCUUAAGUUAGUUGUGAAUCAACUCGCGCUCCACUGCUCGUUAGUGUUUCUUGGACUUGGGGGUGGAUUUAAAUAGAACUGAAGGGUGUGAAUGGAAAAGAACACUAUAGAAGAGUGGAGCAUAGGUUGAUUCGCGAUAAACUUAAGGGCCUAGAUGUAAAACGACAAUUGGUUAUGUUUGAUCUAAACUUGGCCCUUGCUUUUCCAUCCAACGGUCCAUGUGGAUUGGACACACAGGGUGCACCAAAUGUCCCAGUGCACCUGAUACGCCCUCCUAUUUCGGCAACUAUACACGUGUCCAAGACUGUCAAGAAACCCGGUCUACUCCCUCAUAAUUGCAUUUAAAUCUAUGAGCUGGCUGAUGACAACUAGCGAAUCAUUGUGCCAUCUGUUGAUUUUUCAAAUCGCUUUGAUCUAUUUGACGAUCUUGGGAACGAUUGUACAAAAGCAAAUGUUCCCCUUGGUAGAAAGAAACGCCUGGUUAAAUUUCCACCAAACCGUCCUCUCUCGGCUAGUACUUAUGCAUUUGUCCUCGAAUUUGGCUUAAAUAGGGUUCUCCAAAUUAUCCGCAACAUCCGUAAGUUUUGUUCUCUCGCAUGCCCUUUCAUGUUUGUGUUGAAAGUUUUGGGAGAGAUGGAUUUAGACUACUUGAAUUCCAGCUUUGUGCAUGAUUUGGUUGUGUUUAUUAUUAUCUUCUCACAUAGAUCUAAUAUGUCCUCUGCGUUUCGUAGGAUCGUGAAGCAGGUUGGGAAGCCCGUUGACGUUGUAGAAAGACAUCAUAUCUUCGUUCUGAGUUCAGAGGUGAGAACUUUGUUCCGAUAUGUUUUUCACGUUAUGUUCUUGUAAUAUAGAUCUGAUGUCGCUUUAGUUCUUUGUUAUAUCAAUACAAGGUAAAUUUGCACUUAUCAAAAGGAAGAUGAACUACCAAGUUCUAGUGCAAACUCUCUUUUGGUCCUUCGUUCAUGCAAAUUUACGUGUUUAAUUUCUCGCCCUUGAUAUGCAACAAUUGGUUGGGAAAGGAUAAAACCUGAUAGAUGAGUCCUUCAAGAGCGCCUAGGAUUCAUGAAUGAAAUUGGUCUAAACGUCUCGUUUUCAUCGACUUAUUCAUUAUUCAUCUAAGGAUAAACAAACUUGUGAUGAUGCUUUGCCAUUGUUUGGUUGAUUGGAUUUGAUCUAUGUAAUAUGGUUCCUAGGUUCUUGUCUGAGUGAAGAUAAUCAAGUGGAAAACUAGACAGUUUACAUCCUGUAACUACUAAAUUGAUUCAAAAUCACCCACAAGAUUGUGUCAUGUAGUAUUUUUGUCAUGCUUGCAGUUACAAUCAUUUGAUUUUUAUGGUGCGGAUCAUUACGUACAUUGUGGUCAACAAUCCUUGUAUGCACACCAGCACACUUGCCCAUGUAAUCAUUUAAGACCAUUGAAUGUGCAAGCUGAAGAUAAAUAUAUUUUGAAUUUGGUGAUAUUUUAUAAAUUUGAUGAACUUUUCCUCCUUGGAAUAGCACACAAGUUGUUUUGAAGUCCUUGCAUAUCAGAAUUCAGAACACAUGGAGUAAACUAGAAAUAAGAUGAGACUGUAAAGUUGUUUUCUUGAGAAAAGCUAAUGCCCAUGAGUUAUGAAAAAGAAAAACUAUUCCAGUGUUUAGCCAUUAUUUAUGCAAAUUCAUAGGUGUUUAAUUAUUUCAUUGAUCAGCGUAUGAUUUAAAAUAUUUUUUAGGUGAGGAUUGAUUGCAAAGAUUAAACCCACAACACACUCCCAAUUAAAUAAAAUUAUUGUGCAUUAUUAUAUUAAUUGUCGCAAUUAAAUACAAUUAGUAUACAUCACUCAUUUUAACCGGCAAUAUCAAUGUGUCAUCAUUGUAUUUAAUAUUUUGGGAGCAAAUAAUUAUUGCACAUUAUUAUAUUAAUUUUCUCAAUUAAAUACAAUUAGUAUACAUCACUCAUUUUAACGGGCAAUAUCAAUGCGUCAUCAAAGAGUGUAAUUAUUUGUCAUCAAGUUGUAUAAUUAAAAUUGUCCCUAUGUCACACAAACAAACAGCAACUACACUCACGUAGAUAAGAAGAAUGCUGUGUGGGGCCAAACAUAGAGGCGCUGCUCGCUGCAACUGACAUCAAGAGCUGCCACGAUGCAGGAGGAAGCCAUACCUUCUAAGGAUCCAAUCAGGUUUCUACGUUAGGAGACAUUCAUGUUUUUCCAUUAGAAGUCCUAGUCUUGGAUUAUAUUAGAAGUCGUGUGUAUUUUCCACAAGCGAAAGAGAAGAUAAAACAUUUUCAUGGACGGCAUUCUCCAAACAAAGAAGAACAACUAGCAAAGUUAAGGAUAACUAGGUGGGAGACUACGUCGUCUUCUAUGCUUAUGCUGGGAGAACACCUCACCGAUCGUCUCUUCUUCCAAUUAUGCAACGUGUAACCAUCUGUCGGCCAUCGUACCGUGAAAGCAAAAAUUAACGAACCAAGUGUGUACAUGACAUAUCACUUGUUGGCGAGAAGACAUUUUCCUCUUGUCAUAUAUCACACCAUUUAUGCAUGGCCAUGAGGACCAACAAAAACUAGACAUGCACACUAACCAAGAUUUGGAUCUUGGAUCAUAGUAUACCAAUACCCAGGAGCCAAUAGCAAAAUGGCACAGCAGCCGCUCUGAAAUCCCUGAUCGCUAGUAGCUUACUGGCCGGCGUGCAGAAACAUACACAUGUGGAUCGCCUGGAUCGCCGGCCUGCACCUGCAGUGUUCCUGCAUGCAGGGAAAUUAUCUUUACCAACAUUCCAAAAUAAAUUAGUGUCAAGAUGAGCAAAUGAACCGCAAAAACACAAAAGGGCGUCAAAAAGGUGCUUGCGAUCAUAGGCGCAGCCAGGCCCCAGGCAACACGGGCCACGGCCUAGGGCGUGGCCAAAAUUUUCAAGCUAAAAAAGAAAAGAAAUUAGGUUUGGCAUGGGGUGUCGUGGCCCACUGGCCCAAGCCAGCUAGCCCAGCCCAGGGCGUGAGCAAUUCAUGACUCCGCCCCUGCUUGCGAUGAAGUUUAAGUCAGAAUAAAGCAGCUAGUAGUGAAGAAUAAAGUGAUGGCUAUGCGCCAAGAUGAGAGACAGAACAAAAAACGAAAAUCAAGAAAAGAAAAUACAUGAACACACAAUUCCAGAGAGAGAGAAAAGCUAAGAAUCCACCAGGCAUCUCUAAUCUUUUCUAGUUUGUUGUGAAUCAACUCGCGCUCCACUGCUCUUUUGUGUUUCUUGGACUGGGGGGGGGGGGGUGGAUUUAAAUAGAACUGAAGGGUGUGAAUGGAAAAGAACAUUAUAGAAGAGUGGAGCGUUGGUUGAUUCACGAUAAACUUAAGGGCCUAGAAGUAAAAUGGCAAAUGGUUAUGUUUGAUCUAAACUUGGCCCUUGUUUUUCCAUCCAACGGUCCACGUGGAUCGGGCGCACCAAAUGGCCCAGUGCACCUGAUACGCCCUCCUAUUUCGGCAACUACACGUGUCCAAGACCUACCAGAAACCCGGUCUACUCACUCAUAAUUGCAUUUAAAUCUAUGAGCUGGCUGAUGACAACUAGCGAAUCAUUGUGCCAUCUGUUGAUUUUUCAAAUCGCUUUGAUCUAUUUGACGAUCUUGGAAACGAUUGUAUAAAAGCAUAUGUUCCCCUUGGUAGAAAGAAACGCCUGGUUAAAUUUCCAGCAAACCGUCCUCUCUCGGCUAGUACUUAUGCAUCUGUCCUCGAACUUGGCGUAAAUUGGGUUCUCCAAAGUAUCCGCAACAUCCGUAAGUUUUGUUCUCUCGCAUGCCCUUUCAUGUUUGUGUUGAUAGUUUAGGGAGAGAUGGAUUUAGACUACUUGAAUUCCAGCUUUGUGCAUGAUUUGGUUGUGUUUAUUACUGUCUUCUCACAUAGAUCUAAUAUGUCCUAUGCGUUUCAUAGGAUCGUGGAGCAGUUUGGCAAGCCCGUUGACGUUGUAGAAAGAUAUCAUAUCUUCGUUCUGAGUUUAGAGGUGAGAACUUUGUUCCGAUAUGUUUUUCCCUUUAUGUUCUUGGAUAAUAUAGAUCUGAUGCCGCUCUAGUUCUUUGUGUCAUCUAGUAUUUUUUUUUCAUGCUUGCGGUUACAAUCAUUUGAUUUUUAUGGUGCGGAUCAUUACGUUCAUUGUGUUCAACUAUUCUUGUAUACACACCAGCACACUUGCCCAUGUAAUCAUUUAGAACCAUUGAACGUCCAAGGCGAAGAUAAAUAUAUUUUGAAUUUGGUGAUAUUUUAUAAAUUGUAUGAACUUUUCCUCCUUCGAAAUCGCACACGAGUUGUUUUGAAGUCCUUGCAUAUCAGCAUUCAGAAACAUGGAGUAAACUAGAAAUAAGAUGAGACUGUAAAGUUGUUUUCUUGAGAAAAGCUAAUGCCCAAUGAGUUAGGAAAAAUAAAAAUUAUUUCAGCGUUUAGCCAUUAUUUAUGCAAAUUAAUAGGUGUUUAAUUAUUUCAUUGAUCAGCGUAUGAUUUAAAAUAUUUUUUAGGUGAGGAUUGAUUGCAAAGAUUAAACCCACACGGCACACUCCCAACUAAUUAAAAUUAUUGUGCAUUAUUAUAUUAAUUUUCACAAUUAAAUACAAUUAGUAUACAUCACUCAUUUUAACUAGCGAUAUCAAUGCGUCAUCAUUGUAUUAAUAUUUAGGGAGCAAAUAAUUAUUGUACAUUAUUAUAUUAAUUUUCUCAAUUAAAUACAAUUAGUAUACAUCACUCAUUUCAAUACGUCAUCAAACAGUGUAAUUGUUUGUCCCUAUGUCACGCACACAAACAGCAACUAUCCUCGCCUAGAUAAGAAGAAUGUUGUGUGGGGCCAAACAUAAAGGCGCCGCUAGCUGCAACUGGCAUGAGGACCAACAAAAACUAGACAUGCACACUAACCAAGAUUUGGGAUCUUGGAUCAUAGUAUACCAAUACCCAGGAGCCAAUUGCAAAUUGGCACAGCAGCCGCUCUGAAAUCCCUGAACGCUAACUCACUGGCCGGCGUGUAGAAACGUACACAUGUCGAUGGCCGGCCUGCACUUGCAGUGUUCCUGCAUGCAGGGAAAUAAUCUUUUGCACUCGUACAAGUCCAGCUUUAUUUGUUGGCAGCAAGUCAAAGAUGUGUCGUGGCCUGCACCGCCGCAGCCAAUCCACAUCGGCACGAUUUACUUGCGCAAUUAUACGUUGAUUUAGUACCUGUUCGAGUAUUAUUUUGUUUCUUUUGAAAUUUCAACCAGCGCAUAUGUAGGAGUAAAUAGUAAACAGUUCCAUGGACUUGUGCUGGGCAGUACUGGCCCAAUCUUGGACGGUGGAGUACUGUACUACGAUGGGCCUGAACCGGACCUGAGUCCAGCAAUGUAUGUACACCAAGUUUGACCAAAGCCCAAUAUUGCUUAAGUCUAUUUUUAGACCACAAGCAUCACCCUAACAGAAAGAUAUGUAUGCACUGUACUGUUGCAAGUCAACAAGCUUUACAUGCAUCACCCUAACAGAAAGGAAUGAAAGAAAAUAAUGUCUUCAAGUCACACACGGGUGCCUAGGUACUGCUGUCUCCUUUUACCAACAUUCCGAAACCCAUAAAAAUUAAUGUCAAGAUGAGCAAAUGAACCGAAAAAACACAAAAGGGCGUCAAAAGGUGCUUGCGAUGAAGUUUAAGUCAGAAUAAAAUAGCUAGUAGUGAAGAAUAAAGUGAUGGCUAUGCGCAAAGAUGAGAGACAAAAUAAAAAAGAAAUUCAAGAAAAAAAAUGCAUGAGCACAUAAACCCAGAGGGAGAGAAAAGCUAAGGAUCCAGGCAUCUCUAAUCCUUUCCCGUUGAGCAAGAGAGAUAUUCUUGGAUGAUCCAGCCUUAUAUUGUUCCCAAAGACCAUAUCUAGGAUGAACAUUCCUCGUGAUCUAGGGGGA